GAAAAGCUCAAAUUUGAAAUCUGACGGUUCUUGACUGUCCGAGUUGUAAUCUAGAGAAGUGUUACCUGUGCUGGACCGUGUACAAGUCUCCUGGAAUGGAGCAUCAUAGAGGGUGAGAAUCCCGUCUUUGACAUGGACUACCUGUACGUUAUGGUGCGCUCUCGAAGAGUCGAGUUGUUUGGGAAUGCAGCUCAAAAUGGGUGGUAAAUGCCAUCUAAAGCUAAAUAUUGGCGAGAGACCGAUAGCGAACAAGUACCGUGAGGGAAAGAUGAAAAGAACUUUGGAAAGAGAGUUAAACAGUACGUGAAAUUGCUGAAAGGGAAACGCUUGAAGUCAGUCGCGUCGGCUGGAAAUCAGCCUUGCUUUUGCUUGGUGUACUUUCUGGUUGAUGGGUCAGCAUCAAUUUUGACCACUGGAUAAAGUCUUUGGGAAUGUGGCAUCUUUGGAUGUGUUAUAGCCCAUUGUCGCAUGCAGUGGUUGGGAUUGAGGAACUCAGCACGCCGCAAGGCCGGGUUUCGACCACGUUUCGUGCUUAGGAUGCUGGCAUAAUGGCUUUAAUCGACCCGUCUUGAAACACGGACCAAGGAGUCUAACAUGCCUGCGAGUGUUUGGGUGGAAAACCCAUGCGCGUAAUGAAAGUGAAAGUUGAGAUCCCUGUAAGAGGGGAGCAUUGACGCCCGGACCAGACCUUCUGAGACGGAUCCGCGGUAGAGCAUGUAUGUUGGGACCCGAAAGAUGGUGAACUAUGCCUGAAUAGGG
rnacentral:rRNA from 1 species